CGUCAAAAAUUUGAAUUGGACCGAUAAGGACACGACAUUAAAAAAACGCGCAGUGGCGUUCUGGGUAACUUAAUACACAACAGGGUCGAGGAAAGAAUAAAAAAAAGAAAAGAAAACCUCUUCAAAUGAAGACAUUGGCAACUCAAAGCCUAACAACUUGCUUGGAUAUAUUAACGUCAAGCAUCAGAAUUUCCAAAAAAAUUUGAAUGAGAAAUAUUCCAUCCAUGUUAUGAAUAACAAAUAAAUCGCUAUAUUGAUCCUUCUAUUCUCGCACACGCUAAAGAAAAAUAGUUAGAAAUAUUUAAAAAUAAAUAAAUCGAAACGAUAUUCAAGUAAAGAGUAAACAGCCGAAAUUUAGGAGCCGAUUAAAAGUGAAAUAAACUCACUAGUGACAAUUACUUAUCUACUUACUCCCAGGAAUAACGAGUAAACAGCCGAAAUCUAGAAGCCGAUCCAGAGUAAAACAAACUUACGAGUGACAAUCACUUAUCUACUUACUCCCAGGAAUAGCGUACAUAAUAAUGUUUAAAAUUAUGACAUAAUUUAUAUAUUCCCCGGCCGCGUAUUACCAAACUGGCUAGAGCGGAGGUUCCCAACUUUUUUUGACUCACGACACCCUUUAUUAUUUUUUAAAAAUUUGGAGGCACCCUAUAGCCAAUGCUUUAUACUCUAUAGUUUAUACUGAAUACACAAUACUAAUAUAUCAAAAGUCUGUCAAACUUUUUUCAUGUUACCAA